UGUGUGUGUGUGUCUGUCUGUCAGUGAGUAUGUGUGUGUCUGUCAGUCAGUGAGUAUGUGUGUCUGUCACCCACAUAAACUUAAACCUUGUUUAUGUGGCCCGUGCCACACUUUGAGUUUGACAUGCUUGAUUUAGAAUCUUGGUUUAACACCAAAGAGCUGAAGAUAGUCCAAAUGGAAGGCAAGGGAAUUGCCAUUUCACUCCCUUCCAGAGUGUCAGGAUCUGCUCUGCUCUGCUCUGUUCUGAUGUCUGACCAUGGCUUCUGGUAUCCAGUACUCUUUUUACAAUUCUUGUUUAGU